AAAAAUUAGCCAAGCACAGUGGCAUGUGUCUGUAGUACCAGCUACUUGGGAGGCUGAGUGAAGAGGGAGGAUUGCUUGAGGCCAGGAGUUGGAGACCAGACUGGGCAACAUAGCGAGACCUCAGCUUGGAAGUAAGGAAGGAAAGAAGGGAGGGAAGGAGGGAUGAAGGUAGAAAGAAACGGGACAAGAUGGACUCCUGAGGCCAUCCUAAUUCUGGAACACAAUACAAUGGCCUCUGUAUGUUAGGAGGGCUCAUUUGGCUUCUCUCUAAGCCAGCAGUCCACAUCUUUUUGGCACCAAGGACCAGUUUUGUAGAAGACAAUUUUCCACGGAUGGGGGCGGGGGGUGGGGGUGGGAGGGGAUGGUUUCGGGAUGAAACUGUUCCACCUCAGAUCAUCAGACGUUAGAUUCUCGUAAGAGGUGCCCAACCUACAUCCCUUGCACGUGCAGUCCACAAUAGGGUUUGUGCUUCUAUGGGAAUAUAAUGCCACACUGAUCUGACAGGAGUCAGGGCUCAGGUAGUAAUGCUCACUCACCUGCCGCACACCUCCUGCUGUGCGGCCGGUUCCCAAUAGGCCAUGGAAUGCUUAUUGGUCCACAGCCCUGGAGUUGGGCACCCCUCUUCUAAGGCAGAAGCUUCUACUGUCUUAGGAGCAGCGUCCUGGCCUCCACAGCAGGGAGAGAGCAGGAAUACCCAGCCACAGAUACUGGUCAAGAUAUUGAUCAACUUCCUACCAUCAUGGUGGAGGCAAGCCUGGAGGCCUCUGGGUGGUCAUCAGGUCACCCCAGCACAUUUUCCUGCCCCGGACUCCUGGCCACGCUGAGGUUGCUGUGAGCAGACACGAUGUGCAGGGUCAUGGAUGUGCAGCUCAAACUCCUUGACAAGCGGGAGAUUUAUUUUAUGGCCCAAGCAGUUUGGAGACAAAAUCGUAAGGUGCUCACCCAUCCAGUGUCUCUUCAGCCGGCACUGGGAGGUGUCAAACUGACCACAUUCGACUGCCCCUUCCGCCCGCAGAAUAUGGGUCUGCGUUUCUCUUUCCCUCUUGGUGGCCAAGAACUGUCAACAUCCAGCUGUGGCUCUGCACUCAGCCGCCGCUCAGCCUGCUCAGGUUGAAAGGUCAAACGUUGUCUGGAAUUGGCAGCCCAGCUUACUAGCAGCUCUUCUGUCUUCAGAGUGCAGUGAGGGGAGCUGUCAGAGGGCUGAGGCAAGGACCAGAGAGGGAACUCCUGCGACAGAGAAAGCUCAGCCCUGGUUAUGUUCUGGAGGGAGCAUAGCAGGGUCUGUCCCAGGAACUUUAUUAGUUAGCGGUUAAGAUCCUCAUCCACAGAAAAGCCGGUAGGAAUUAGCCAGGUGGUGUGUGCCUAUGGUCCCAGCUACCCAGGAGGGUGAGGAGGGAGGACUGCUUGAGCCCAGGAGGUUGAGGCUGCGGCUAGCUAUGAUUGUGUCACUGCGCUCCAGCCUGGGUGACAAAGCAAGAUCCUGACUCAAAAAAAAAAAAAAAAAAAAAAGGAAGAAAGAAGAAAGAGAGAGAAGAAAGAAAGGAGAGAAAGAGAAGGAAGGAAGGAGAAAGGAAAGAAGGAAGGAAGAAAAGGAAGAAAGAAUGACAAAGAAAAGAAAGAAAGACGAAAAGGAAAGGAAAAGAAAAGAAAAAAGAAACAAAAGCAGGAAAGUGAGGGGAGAGGGCCAGGAAGACAGAAGACAGGAUGGGCAAGAAGGGUGGGAAGGAUUCCCACACCAGAUUCAGGAGUGGCUCUGCAUUGGGAAAUCCAUCUACGACUGCUGGGGACUUGGUUUUGCAAACAUGCACAGAGAAACCUUCAUCCACCUCUGUGCAAUGUUGGACUGAAGUAGAAAUGAGCCGCUGUUUUCUGGAAGCACCCCAUUUCUUUGAGCUGAUCUUCUCUAAUAAUGAAUUCUGGUGAAGCCUGCCAUUCACAGCACCCUGCCCUCCCAUCUGUAGGAGGUGGGAACAGGACCCAGGCCAGUUGAUCAGAGAGCUCCCUUGCCCUGGGAUGAGCAUGUGACCCAGAUGUCUCAAUCAUGGGGAAGAUCCUCUUGCCUGUUAUAGCCACUAUGCUGGAAGAACAGGAUGUGGGCUUGCUGGCCGCCAUCUUCCAGUCCACGCUGGGAACCCAUCUGCAGGAGGAGGGAAGGAGGACAACCCAGUUUGAGGGAGCAUAUGGACAGCAGCUAUAGAAGGCUCCAUAUGUGCCCAGUGCUAGAUCCACCCCAUCCCUUCCUGUUCCAUAAAUCCAUACAUCUUCUCUCACUUUUGCUUACCCUAGUUUGAGUUACAUUUCUGACACCUGCCACCAUAAAAGCCCAAAUGAUUACAGAGAAUAUUUGGCUACAGGAAAGACCCUGCAGUCUGUGAAAAAAGAGGCUGCUGGUGCAUAGUCAUCGUAGACCAGUGCAAAGAGUGAAACAGAAACAUCCAGCUUAAUCUGCAAAAGCCUUUUUGGAUCCUUGAGAGGCGCUCAUUAACUUACAGCAAAUUGGUGAGCUGAUACUCUUCUUUCAUCCAGGUGAGUGCAUUAACUAGGUUAAUGUUCCUGUCUCAAGGGACUGCUGUAGGUUAGGGUGAAUGAAUGAAAGAAGCAAGUUUUUAAACAGGAAAAAGGCUGCAGGGAAGUUGAGGUGACAAGCAUCGUUUCACCCCCAAUGGAAGGUGAGCUUGUCUGUUAGGUCCCAGGGACUGAAUUGGAGUUCCGUGGUUAGGGAAUGACCCAUCUCAACAAGCAACUUCCAUCAUCCUUCCAUGGGGAUCUGAUUAAGGUCUUCUCCAGAAGGAGAUGGCCUCGUGAGUUGGGGCUUUUUAAUCUCCCUGUCCCUCCUCUAGAAGGGCAUUGCUACUGGCCUUGCCCUGCCAAGUCUUCAGUCUACAACAACACUGCCCGGCUUCAGACACAGCCCAGAUCCUUCCCAGAUCCUUCCCAGACACAGCCCAGAUCCUUCCCAGACAAAAAGUCCUUCCGACUUUUUGCCCUUUCGGCCCAGCCUUCCCUAUCACUUAUGCUGAAAUUGGGAACGUUUCCCAAACCAACAAUUUCCCAGUCCACAAUGUUCCCUUGCUGAGUGUCCCCACAGGAGAGACAGGCAGCCUGAUAAAUAAAACCAGUCAUAAAACCUCCCUGCCUUAGCAAAGGGACUGCUUUGCCAGGCUACCGUCACAUAGCACUCCUGUCUCCCGUUUGACUUCAUAUAGUGAAAAUUGUCUAAAAGAUAAGGCAGGAGCUCUGGUUGACACCCCCCCUGCCCCCGCCUCAUAGAUCUCUCUCUAGAAGCAUUGGAAGAGGCCGUCUCAAAAAAGAAAAAUAAAAUAGAAGCAUUGGAGGAAAGAUGUGGUUUGUAGUGAAACAAAUUGGAAGUCAAGCUCAGCCUCAACCACUUACUUGCUUCUGACCUUGGCAUGAAGUUGCAGAAGCUGACCUGGGUCCUAACUGUAAAAUGCAGAGGAACUCUAUCCAUGAGGAAGCUUUGUGAAGUCGAUUCAUUGCUAAUGUCCCUUGUCCUGCCCUGUCAUCCAGGAUAGAGUGCCAUGGCGUGAUCAUGGCUUACUGCAGCUUCAACCUUCUGGGCUCAAGCCAUCCUCCUUCCUCAGCCUCCCAAGUAGCUGGGACCACAGGUGCACACCAUCACACCUGGCUAAUUUUUAAAUUUUUGUAGAGAUGGGGGUCUCGCUAUGUUGCCCAGGCUGGUCUCAAACUCCUGGCCUCAAGCGAUUCUCCCACCUCAGCCUCCCAAAGGGCUGGGAUUACAGGUGUGAGCCACCACACCUGGCCUGUGAUUGCUUUUCUUAACAUGGUACUCUGCCAUUAUAUUCUCUAUUAGGAAUUUGAUAUGCUCAGAAGAUAUAGUGAAUUAUAGUUGCCUGUUUACUAACAUCGGGGUCCUUUCAGGUAGUGUCCACCACAGGAAACAUUACUAUUUGGGUUUUGUGACCCAGGAAUCCAUAUUUACCUGGCGGCAACGACACAGCCCUCACCUUUCCAGACCUCAUCUGGUGGCCUUGUAAUCCUGGAGCUGAAGCUGCCUACACACAAGCAAUCGGUCGCAGUGUAUCCGUGCAGGGUCCCAACCCACUCCAGGAUUCAUUUCGGGAUGGCUUCCCCUCCCUCAGCCAGGUCUCCGGCCCCGUUGCUCUGCAUGCUUGCCCAUCUCCAUCUCCACGGCGAUCAUGUGUUUGCAGGGAGCCAUCAAUAUCCUCUUCUCUUACGCUUUCUGAAUGGGAGAGUCAAUCUCAAUGGGAAGCUAGCAGGGACUUGGGUGGACAGGUGUCUCACGCUGGAUGGGCGAAUCCAGGUGGGAGGGAGGGUGGGCUUGCUGUCAUUUGUUGGUGGGUCAUGGGAUUUGCUAUGAAGCUGGAGGGAAAAUCUGGACCCCUGAAGAGGGGUCCCUUCCCUUCCUAAGGGAAGGCCUCAGCUCCAAGACUGCAGGAGGAGCUGGGUAGCCAUUGGAUAUGGCUAACGCACAUGAAUCAUGACCAGGGUGCACUGUUUGGACAGCAAGUCAGUGGCCCAAGGAGAGAGAGGUUAGUGAUGGGAAGCGUCCUGAGACUCACUGAUGCAUCUUUACAUUUUUCUCUUUAAGCAUUAGGAAGAGGCCGGGUGCCGUGGCUCACACCUGUAGUGCCAGCGCUUUGGAAGGCUAAGAUGGGCAGACUGCUUGAACUCAGGAGUUUGAGACCAGCCUGGGCAAUGUGUCAAGACCCCAUCUCUACAAGAAAUUUUAAAAUUAGCCAGGCAUUGUGGUAGGUGUCUGUGGUUCCAGCUACUCAGGAGGCUGAGGCAGGAGGAUUGCUUGAGCCUGAGAAGUUGAGGCUACAGGGAGCUGUGAUCUCACCACUGCACUCCAGCCUGGGCAACAGAGUGAGACCCUGUCUCAAUCAAUCAAUCAAUCAAGAAAUAUUAGGAGGAGAAUUUGUUGAUGUCUCUUUUCUGUCAUAAGCUCGGCUCUCCAAGAGCCUUUUCUUCCCAGGAGGACAUGCUGGUGUUUCAUGAAUCUAGGACUUCUUGCCUGAAGCUUGUAAAGUGCUAGAUGGAAUGAAAACAGCAGCAGUAAGAGCAGGCUCUUAUGCAACCUUGCUACACACAAGGCAUUGCUCUAAGUGCUUUGCAGGGGUUAAGAGAUGCAGCUGAGUAGCUGAGGACAGUCUAGGGGUGGGGUUUCCAGAGGCUGUCAGGGGAGUGGCCCCCAGUCUCCCUGGUGGAAUCCCUGACCAUUAAUCACACACAUAAGUUUCACUCCACAAACAUGGGUUGUAAAAACAUUACAAUCUAGCCAGGCGCAGUGACUCAUGCCUAUCAUACCAGUACUUUGGAAGGCCGAGGCAGGAGGAUUGCUUGAGGAGUUCCCGACCCGCCUGGGCAACGUAGCAAGACCCCCAUCCUACCAAAAAAAAAAAAAAAAAAAGGCAGGGUGUGUUGGUGUGCACCUAUAGUCCCAGCUACUUGGGAGGCUGAGGCAGGGAGAUUGCUUGAGCCCAGAAGUUCAAGGCUGUGGUGAGCUAUGAUUAUACUACUGCACUCCAGCCUGAGCAACAGAACAAGACUCUGUUUUUUUUUUAAGCCAUAAUCCAUUAUUUUUUUCUAAAUUAAAUGGAAUGUGUUGUGAACCACAAUCAUUUAUUUUAUUUACUUAUUUAUUUUUGAGACGGAGUCUUGCUCUGGCGUCCAGGCUGGAGUGCAGUGGUGUGAUCUCGUCUCACUGUAACCUCUGCCUCCUGGGUUCAAGCAAUUCUCCUGUCUCAGCCUCCUGAGUAGCUGGGAUUACAGCUGUGCACCACCACACCUAAUUUUUGUAUUUUUAGUAGAGAUGGAGUUUCAUCACGUUGUCCAGGCUGGUCUCGAACUCCUGGCCUCAAGCGAUCCACCUGCCUCAGCCUCCCAAAAUGCUAGGAUUACAGGCGUGAGCCACCAUGCUUGGACCUAGCCACAAUUAUUUAAUACCAGGGCUCCCUGCCAUUGCUCCCCAGAGCUGGGAGAAGGUCUCAGGAGCAUAUUGGGUCAGGUAUGUGUGGAAAGGCCCUCCAGGCUCAAAUCCACACUGGGCCUGCUCUGUGCCCUGACUCCAAGCUCCAGGAGCCCUCAAAGGUGGCAGCUCCACUGCUCAUGAGCCAAGCUUAGGGACCGGGGCCCUUCCUAGCAGCCAGAAAGAGCCUUAUUCUUAGUUGUUUUUUUUUUUUUUUUUUUUUUUUUUUGUAGAGACAGAGUCUGGCUCUGUUGCUCAGGCCAGAGUGCAGUGGUUCGAUCAUAGCUCACUGCAACCUCAAACUCCUGGGUACAAACAAUCCUCCUACCUCAGCCUCCUGAGUAGCUGGGACUACAAGCGUGCACCAUCACACCUGGCUAAUUUUUAUAUUUUUAAUUUUUAAUUUUCUGUAAAGACAGGGUCUUGCUAUGUUGCCCAGGCUGGUCUCAAACUCCUGGCCUCAAGCGAUUCUUCUGCCUCGGCCUCCCAAAGUGCUGUGAUUACAGGCAUGACCCACUGUGCCUGGUUCUGUUUUUAGUACCAAGGGCCCUCAUACCCCCUGUCUCUUCUUGGGACUCUGCCAAGUCCCAGGCUCCUUCUCAGCCUUGGGGACGGUACCCAGAUCAGCACCUCCACUUCCAUCUCCCCACCUCACCCCAAACCCUUCCCUCUGGCAUCUAGAGCCAUCCUAAAGUUUCUCUUCUUGAGUCUAGCCCUCCUGGGUAUGCUUGGGGACUGAAAUGCUCAAACUGGCCUCACCUCUUGACACUGUAAUUGUUCCUUAUCUCCCAUUAAACAGGAAUCCUGCUUUGUGUAGUUCAGUGCCUGCUGCCAAGUCAGAGCUGUGACCUCAAUGAAAGUGGCCCAGCCACAGCAAACCUCAGUUUCCAUAACAGUCCUGGGAUCCAAUGUGGCUUUCACACUACAUGUCACUUCACUCUGUUAUCUCUGACAGAAAACCAACUCAAACUGGCUUAAGCAAAAAGGGUACUCACUGGGCCAUGUAACCAAAAAGUGUAGGCAUACAUGUGGCUUCAGGAAUGGCUGGAUCCAGGCACUCACAUGUGGCAUCGGGAGUCCCUCUCCUGGCUGUUGGUUUCAGUUUUCUCUGCAGGGGUUUCAUUCAAGCACUGGUUCCCUCCUCAUAGUGGCAAGGUGGCUGCCCAGGACAAGAGGCUUAUAGCCACGGGCUCAGCUACUUAAGGAUAAGUUCCAUCAGAAGCCCAAGUUGAGGCCGGGCUUGGUGCUCACACCUGUAAUCCCAGCACUUUGGGUGGCCGAGGUGGGUGGAUCACUUGAGGUCAGGAGUUCGAGACCAGCCUGGCCAACACAGUGAAACCCUGUCUCUACUUAAAAAAAAACAAAACAAAACAAAAAAAAAAACCAUGAAAAUUAGCUGGGUGUGGUGGCACGUGCCUGUAAUCCCAGCUACUUGCAAGGCUGAGGCAGGAGAAUCACUUGAACCUGGCAGGCGGAAGUUGCAGUGAGACGAGAUCACGUCAUUGUACUCCAGUCUGGGCAACAGAACGAGACUUCGUUGGCAAUGACUGGGUCAUCUGUCCAGUCCUGAACCGGUCACUGUGUCAGGUAGAAGCAUUGUUUGAUUGGCCAGGCCUGGGACACACGGCCAUCUCCAGACCUAGGAAUGGCAUCAUCUCUACCCAAACCCCGUGAACCAAGAGUUGGGGAGGAGCAAAGCUUCAGAGAAAACUCUGGGCCCUGUCAUCAAGCAGAGGAGGAAAGGAGGCCACACAGACUGAGACAUCAAGUACCCACUGUGCCCUCACCACCAGCUCCCGCCCUGGCCAGUGCACUCCUGGACCAUCUCUCCUCCCCGUCUUGUUCACAGUCACCCUCUCACCCCAGCAGAGAUCAGGCCAGGGUACUGGUGGCAAGUGAGUGAAGGGUUUCAGCAAGGGGGUCCCCACCUUCCAGGCACAGUGUAAGUGGACCCCCCACACUUGGGGGCUCUCCUGGGUUGCACAGUGUCCUCUGAAAAUUCACAUCCACCUGGAACCUGCAAAUAUGACCUUAUUUGGAAAUGGAGUCUUUGCAGAUGUUGUCAAGAUAAGAUGAAGUCAUACUGUUUUAGGAUGGGCCCUCUAUAUGGCACGACUGGGGUUCUUAUACGAAGAGGGACCCUGGCACACAGAUGCAUACAGGGAGAGUGCUGUGUGAUGAGAAAGGCAGAGAUUGCAGUGAUGCUGCCACCAGCCAAGGAGUCACCAUCAGCCAGGAGAUGGGCAUGGAUCUGAUUCUCCCUGGGAACCUCCAGAAGGAGCCAACCCUGCCAACACCUUGGUUUUGGACUUCUGUUCCCCGCAACUGUGAGACAAUACAUUCUGUGGUUUUAAGCUUUAUGAUAAUUUGUUACUGUAGCCCUGGGAAAGGAAUACAAGGGUAGACAGACACUGAUCAAGUAAGCAAACAAAUGUGAAAUUGCCCUGUGACAAGGGAGGUGCGGGGUGCCUGUGUUGGGGAAGAAUUCUCUGAGACUUGAAGUCAGAGAAGGAGUUAGCUAAUGGGGCCGACAGGGUUCUGCACACGCAGCUCACGGCCCAGAUCUUGUUGGCCAAGUGUUUUUGCAGGGAUUAGGAACUAAGAAUGGUUUUGCAAGAAGAACAUCACAGGCUGAGGGGACAGCAUGGGCAAAGGCCAUGAAGUGGGAGGCGCCCUCUGUGAAACCAACAAGCUUUCAGCCACGUGGGUCUCUCUGACGCGUUGCCUCAGCCACAGAGGGCUUUAAAAAGCCCCGAAACUGGACAGGUGUCACUGCCUGUGGCAGUAGCGGCCAUUUGGCGCCUGUGGUUUCAACUCCACCCGUUUCACAUGUCUAUGUUACCAGACUGGCCCCUGAAGGGGAUCUGUGUGCCAGGCCCUGACCUGCCGGGCUUUGGAAACAUCCUCGACAGUGUCCCCUGACCUGCGCCCCGCCUUGUGGAGUGAGGCCUGGUUGCCCAAGCUGGCUGGGCCGGGCUGUUUGUUGCUUCCAACAAACAUAGGAGAGAACGUAUGGCUGCUUUUUAUUGCCAGUGAGAGUUCCGCGAGGCCUGGCCCGAGAUGUGGCUGGCGUGAGGGGUCCCGGACCUGCUGUGCUGGGGACGCACCCAGUUCUGUGUCGCUUGGUCCAGUGAGGACUCGAGCCCCUUGGAGGCGGGGCCUCGGGCUGCAGGGGCGGGGCCCCGAGCCGCCUGGGGGUGGGGCCUCAGGCUCUUUGGGGGCGGGGCCUCAAGCUGUCUGGGGACGGAGCCUCCGGCCGGCUGGGGGCGGGGCCUCAUGCCUAAGGGGCGGGGCCUCGAGCUUUCUGGGGGUGGGGUCUCAAGCUUCAGGGUCGGGGCCUGGAGCCGCCUGGGGACGGGGCGAUCUGUUGGGGAGGAGGUUCUCGAACUGCUGAGGAGGAUCGCAGUGCUUUUGCUUCCUCUAGGAGACCAGCUGCACAGGCUGGAACAUGCCAUCUCUAUGCCUGUUUUCCCGUCGAUAAAUCCAGAGACAUUACUCUCAUCAUUUCUUCCUCUGUACACAAUAUUCAUAUAUGUAACCCCUUGGUAAAGCAGUUGUAAGAAUUAAACAAGAGGAAUUGCUCUUUCAUUCAGCAAAUAUUUUUUGAGCAGCUACUAGAUGCCAGGCACUGUUUUAGACGCAAGUGAUACUUCAGGAAACAUAAUCAGAC
rnacentral:lncRNA from 1 species